rnacentral:tRNA from 1 species
GCCUGGGUGGCUCAGUCGGUUAAGCGUCUGACUUCAGCUCAGGUCAUGAUCUCGUCAUCCGUGAGUUCGAGCCCCGCGUCAGGCU